GCACCUACCUGUCAGGGGAGAUACCGUGAUCACAGAGGUGGUUUCCCCAGGACGAGCCUUGUCCACUGCACUCCAGCUGUGCUGACCUCUGAAACUUCUCCAAACCUGGGAAACUCGACUGCAUAAUUUGUGGUAGUGGCAGGGAAAAAAAGACGUCCUGA
ensembl:snRNA U1 U1 spliceosomal RNA